rnacentral:rRNA from 1 species
UACGAACUGUGCAAACGUUAUUCGGAUUCACUGGGCUUAAAGGGUGCGUAGGCGGCCAUGUAAGUAGGGUGUGAAAUCCCCCCGGCUUAACCGGGGAACUGCGCCCUAAACUGUAUGGCUGGAGUGAGAUAGGGGUGUGUGGAACUUCCGGUGGAGCGGUGAAAUGUGUUGAUAUCGGAAGGAACGCCGGUGGCGAAAGCGACACACUGGGUCUCAACUGACGCUGAGGCACGAAAGCCAGGGGAGCGAACGGG